UUAAGCGACUAAGCGUACACGGUGGAUGCCCUGGCAGUCAGAGGCGAUGAAGGACGUGCUAAUCUGCGAUAAGCGUCGGUAAGGUGAUAUGAACCGUUAUAACCGGCGAUUUCCGAAUGGGGAAACCCAGUGUGUUUCGACACACUAUCAUUAACUGAAUCCAUAGGUUAAUGAGGCGAACCGGGGGAACUGAAACAUCUAAGUACCCGAGGAAAAGAAAUCAACCGAGAUUCCCCCAGUAGCGGCGAGCGAACGGGGAGCAGCCCAGAGCCUGAAUCAGUGUGUGUGUUAGUGGAAGCGUCUGGAAAGGCGCGCGAUACAGGGUGACAGCCCCGUACACAAAAAUGCACAUGCUGUGAGCUCGAUGAGUAGGGCGGGACACGUGGUAUCCUGUCUGAAUAUGGGGGGGACCAUCCUCCAAGGCUAAAUACUCCUGACUGACCGAUAGUGAACCAGUACCGUGAGGGAAAGGCGAAAAGAACCCCGGCGAGGGGAGUGAAAAAGAACCUGAAACCGUGUACGUACAAGCAGUGGGAGCCUCUUUUAUGGGGUGACUGCGUACCUUUUGUAUAAUGGGUCAGCGACUUAUAUUCUGUAGCAAGGUUAACCGAAUAGGGGAGCCGAAGGGAAACCGAGUCUUAACUGGGCGUUAAGUUGCAGGGUAUAGACCCGAAACCCGGUGAUCUAGCCAUGGGCAGGUUGAAGGUUGGGUAACACUAACUGGAGGACCGAACCGACUAAUGUUGAAAAAUUAGCGGAUGACUUGUGGCUGGGGGUGAAAGGCCAAUCAAACCGGGAGAUAGCUGGUUCUCCCCGAAAGCUAUUUAGGUAGCGCCUCGUGAAUUCAUCUCCGGGGGUAGAGCACUGUUUCGGCAAGGGGGUCAUCCCGACUUACCAACCCGAUGCAAACUGCGAAUACCGGAGAAUGUUAUCACGGGAGACACACGGCGGGUGCUAACGUCCGUCGUGAAGAGGGAAACAACCCAGACCGCCAGCUAAGGUCCCAAAGUCAUGGUUAAGUGGGAAACGAUGUGGGAAGGCCCAGACAGCCAGGAUGUUGGCUUAGAAGCAGCCAUCAUUUAAAGAAAGCGUAAUAGCUCACUGGUCGAGUCGGCCUGCGCGGAAGAUGUAACGGGGCUAAACCAUGCACCGAAGCUGCGGCAGCGACGCUUAUGCGUUGUUGGGUAGGGGAGCGUUCUGUAAGCCUGUGAAGGUGUGCUGUGAGGCAUGCUGGAGGUAUCAGAAGUGCGAAUGCUGACAUAAGUAACGAUAAAGCGGGUGAAAAGCCCGCUCGCCGGAAGACCAAGGGUUCCUGUCCAACGUUAAUCGGGGCAGGGUGAGUCGACCCCUAAGGCGAGGCCGAAAGGCGUAGUCGAUGGGAAACAGGUUAAUAUUCCUGUACUUGGUGUUACUGCGAAGGGGGACGGAGAAGGCUAUGUUGGCCGGGCGACGGUUGUCCCGGUUUAAGCGUGUAGGCUGGUUUUCCAGGCAAAUCCGGAAAAUCAAGGCUGAGGCGUGAUGACGAGGCACUACGGUGCUGAAGCAACAAAUGCCCUGCUUCCAGGAAAAGCCUCUAAGCAUCAGGUAACAUCAAAUCGUACCCCAAACCGACACAGGUGGUCAGGUAGAGAAUACCAAGGCGCUUGAGAGAACUCGGGUGAAGGAACUAGGCAAAAUGGUGCCGUAACUUCGGGAGAAGGCACGCUGAUAUGUAGGUGAAGUCCCUUGCGGAUGGAGCUGAAAUCAGUCGAAGAUACCAGCUGGCUGCAACUGUUUAUUAAAAACACAGCACUGUGCAAACACGAAAGUGGACGUAUACGGUGUGACGCCUGCCCGGUGCCGGAAGGUUAAUUGAUGGGGUCAGCGCAAGCGAAGCUCUUGAUCGAAGCCCCGGUAAACGGCGGCCGUAACUAUAACGGUCCUAAGGUAGCGAAAUUCCUUGUCGGGUAAGUUCCGACCUGCACGAAUGGCGUAAUGAUGGCCAGGCUGUCUCCACCCGAGACUCAGUGAAAUUGAACUCGCUGUGAAGAUGCAGUGUACCCGCGGCAAGACGGAAAGACCCCGUGAACCUUUACUAUAGCUUGACACUGAACAUUGAGCCUUGAUGUGUAGGAUAGGUGGGAGGCUUAGAAGUGUGGACGCCAGUCUGCAUGGAGCCGACCUUGAAAUACCACCCUUUAAUGUUUGAUGUUCUAACGUGGACCCGUAAUCCGGGUUGCGGACAGUGUCUGGUGGGUAGUUUGACUGGGGCGGUCUCCUCCUAAAGAGUAACGGAGGAGCACGAAGGUUGGCUAAUCCUGGUCGGACAUCAGGAGGUUAGUGCAAUGGCAUAAGCCAGCUUGACUGCGAGCGUGACGGCGCGAGCAGGUGCGAAAGCAGGUCAUAGUGAUCCGGUGGUUCUGAAUGGAAGGGCCAUCGCUCAACGGAUAAAAGGUACUCCGGGGAUAACAGGCUGAUACCGCCCAAGAGUUCAUAUCGACGGCGGUGUUUGGCACCUCGAUGUCGGCUCAUCACAUCCUGGGGCUGAAGUAGGUCCCAAGGGUAUGGCUGUUCGCCAUUUAAAGUGGUACGCGAGCUGGGUUUAGAACGUCGUGAGACAGUUCGGUCCCUAUCUGCCGUGGGCGCUGGAGAACUGAGGGGGGCUGCUCCUAGUACGAGAGGACCGGAGUGGACGCAUCACUGGUGUUCGGGUUGUCAUGCCAAUGGCACUGCCCGGUAGCUAAAUGCGGAAGAGAUAAGUGCUGAAAGCAUCUAAGCACGAAACUUGCCCCGAGAUGAGUUCUCCCUGACCCUUUAAGGGUCCUGAAGGAACGUUGAAGACGACGACGUUGAUAGGCCGGGUGUGUAAGCGCAGCGAUGCGUUGAGCUAACCGGUACUAAUGAACCGUGAGGCUUAACCUU
rnacentral:rRNA from 1 species